ensembl:lncRNA
UGAUCCCAUUACACUUUCCUGCUCUGGUGUUCACUUCUAAUCGAAAACUAGACCAAGACCUGGCCAAUGCAUCUGGAGAAAGUAGCACCAAAAAAGACAAGAGCAUUGCCAUGGCCAGACAACUGAACUGGUUCCAUCGAGCCGUCGCCAGUUCCAUCUUGGAUCAAUUUGCUUCAAGAGGAUGUGUAGGGCUCAUUCGUUUCAACCGCAUGCUUCUCCUGAGACACAGUCCGGAAUCUGUCAGCGGGUGGCAAACCCUGGAGAUGGUUAUGGAGAACAACAUCACAAGCCUGACAGACAAGCUGGAACAGCAUGAAGUCAUCUUGAUUAGCCGGGAGCCUGCAUGAAGACAAGAUGCUUGUCAGUGUAGGCAGAUGACAUCAUGGCUGCAAAUGUUCAUUAGGUGGUGGCAUGGAUGCUCCUGUACCUUCUUCCAGAUGGUAGGAGGGUGAAUAGUCCAUGAAAAGGGUGAGAGGUCCAUGUUGUCCAUGUCCACAGUGCAUCGCAACUAUCCACAAGUAUACGUUGCUGUUGUUCUCAGCAUUUGUCUCUGCAAUGUCUGGGAAAUAUGAAAAUGAAAAGACUACAUCGAUUAAAGCCCAGCUCUGGGAAGGGAAGCAACAGGGGAUAAGAUGAAACUGAGAGAAAAAGAGAAGAUGAUGGAGAUAAGAGAGGAAGAGCAGGUAUACCCACUGCACCCAGAAUAUGAUUAGCAUUAUGUUAUUGUGCUGUUUAACACAAACAAAAACUGACCUGAUCUCAUUCUAUCUAUGUAGGCC